UCACUGGCCCGCGGCGGUCUUUGUCCCGUGGUCUAGCGCCUUUCCGAGCCUCUCGUCUUGGUCGUCUUGCGGUGCUUGGUGUCGUCGGUGAGGCCGCGUGCCAGGAAGGUUCGGAUGCAAGGAGGGCGUUAAAGGACAGGUGUGGCCCGGCCUCCGAGGGGCCUCCUUAAAGAGGCCGGGUCCCCUCCGCUCGCCCCCUUCGCGGCCGCUGGCGCCCGCGUUGGGCCGGCCGAGAGGAGCGGUGAGGGCGCACCUGCGAAGUGUUUUCGGCCACGGUGCCUCCUUGUUCAAACUCCUCCUAAGUAACCGUUGUGACUCUUCUCCAGGAGGGUGAGAAUUUCCGCUGGGCAAGUCAGGUUGGCCCGGCCCUGCGGUGGUCACCGCCCUGUCGCUCCUGGCUGUCCCGAGCCAACGUAUGACGAUUGAUGACUGAUAACAUUUACUGAUUAAUGGUAAAUACAAAACACAACUCCAGAUUACCCGGUGUCCAUGGGGAUGGCUGUCUGUACUUGUAUUCAUAAGAUACCCUGAAAUGGUCUUGGUGUCAGAGAAAGGAAUGUUGGAUGAUAUGGAAGAUGGAGGUGUGCUUUUCUCAAAGAAUUGAUCCAUUCACGACCAUUUAUCAGGUGUCUACAGUGUGUUCGGGCAUGUGCUGCAUUAGAGGGAAAUAAGAAAAGAGCUCCGAGUCCAGGGGUGGUGAGACAAGGUCAUGUUUAAGAGUUUCCAUUGAAGCCACGUGACUGGAGUGAGUAUAGGUAUUUAAAAUAUUUAGAACCAUUGACCUUGGAGUAUGAGAGACCUUGAAACUCUGUAUUACUGUUUCUUUCAUCCUUGUUCCAGUGAACAUUGAUGAUGUUCCUUGAUCCAAGCCAUUACAUGUGCGGUUAUUUAGGAUUCAGUGACCUUUGGUGAUGUGCCUGUGGACUUCACCUUGGAGGAAUGGACUCUUCUGGACCCCUCUUAGAGAACCUUACGCAGAGAUGCAGUACUGGAUGGAGAACUCCCAGAACUUGAGUAUGGUUAUCAACUCUUUAAACACACUUUUAUCUCAUGGUUGGAACAAGAAGAGUUGAGGACAAUGGAGAGAGGUAUUCCUCAGGGUGAGUGUGAAGAACAUCCCUCAUCAAUGAGAAGUUCAGUAUGUUUGGAAAUGUAACAAGAGGCUUCUUACGAGGAAACAGAACAAAUCUUUUGGGGUAUUCCAGGAGCCCUCUGGAAAAAUGCCAGGCUGGAGGCCCAAACCCUGGAGGUAGUUUAUUGUUUCAACCAAAGAGCAAAUGCUGAGACCCAUAUCCAAGUAGUUAUCUGCUGGGAAAGGAUACCCCAGGCCCACAUCCCAAAUGGCAUCACCCGUGCACAGAAUCUCAUUGCUGGCAGGGAUACUGGCCUAAGAUGACAUCAGUCCCUCCAAAGAUCUCCUGAAUAUAAAUGACUUCACCCAGUUCAUGAGCUUCUGCACCAACAAUAUCCGUUGCUGACCCUCCUAAUGCAGAAAGUAGACAAAGGACAAUUUUGCUGAUCUUCUUGAUAUUCUGUUUUGUUUCUGAGCUGCUUGCAGUCUGCUUAGCCCAUUGUCCAGUCAUACCUGCAUUCUGCCAAAACAUACCCCCACACUGCCAUGCUUGUAGGGGAAUCUGACAGAAAACUAUUUGUGUCAUUCUAAAAAUAACUUUUUUCAGGAGAUAACCUCACUCCUAUUUGUCUGCCUCUUAACCCUGUGGGAAGAAGACCACUCUCCAGCACCUUCUACGGCAGCCCUCCACCUUUCCACCAUGACCUCCUGCCCUGCAUCACCAACCACAAAAUACUAAUCUUUACAUCUAUUUUAUUAUUAGCUCAUGGCCUCCAACAGUGUAACUGCCAAGCUUGCCGCCUUGAAUAUUGUCAAAUGCACACUUUAUAAGUCCACAAAGAUAUUGUUAGAGUCCACAAAAUAAUUUCAUAUCUUUACAUAGUACCUACCAGAUUUAGUAGAGACCUUGGUUAUGGGCUAGCCUACAAGGACUUCUUAUACUCCCGUAAUGUUUUCCAUGUAUUCCAUGGCAACUUAAGCCAUACUCUCGGAUAAUCACCACUACCAUCACCCCAAAGUUUCCUUACUAUCAAACCAUCAAAAGAUCAAUUGCCUUAAUCAUGUUCUCUUUUGCUCUGUGUUUAUGAUGCUUUGACACUUUAGGGGUCAAUCUGUCCAGGAAGAUACUGCUCCUUCAGGUCUGGCUAAUCCCUAAAGAUAGUAAACAACUUAAUCAGGAACACUUCUUUCUUGUGGAAACCAAAUCAUCCAGUAUCCAAUAUCCCCAACCUCCUUUAACUCUUACAUGCAAAGCCAGUAUUUCUCCUACCUAAGUCAACCCAGGGCCAGAUACCAGAAAACUAGAUACAUUGCCUAUGACCCAAAAUCUGGUGGCAUUAGUCAAACGCCAAUUCUGUUCAGCCCUACCUUGCUCUUUCAGUGGAAACCCAAUGAAGACUGUGUCCUGUGUUUUCUCCUUUCUUCAGACCAAUUCUGAACCCUCAAGGGGAGUCAUGCUGUCUACCCUUUGGGCUGUGGUAAACUUUUCUUUCAGUGUUUUUAAUCUCCCUGUGUCUUUAUUCAGUCACUUUCAGAAAUUAAGAUCAAGGCACCAAUCUACCAUUUCUUUGCUUUUUUCAUAAGUUUUACUACCUAUGUAUAGAUCCCAAAGCAAAGUAUUUCCCUCCUUAGUUGAUUUUUGAACUAUAUAUAAAAGCUUUUGUUACUGAGUCAUUCCUUUGUUAUUUUAUUAACUCACUGUGUAUUAAUGUUCAAACUGAUUAGGUAAUUACAAUGUUUUUCCAAAGUGUUUGUGCAAUAUCUCUGUGGUUUAAUUUGCCUUUCCCUAUUACUGAUGGUAUGAACAUCUUGUCAAGUACUAUGGCUAUUUGUUUUCCUCCUUGUUGGAAUACCAGUCAUGGCUUUGGCUAAUUUUUAUAAUAGUUCUUUUAAAAUAAUUUUGAAGUCUUUUGUUAAACAAUGUGGUACUCCUCAUUCAUGAAUAACAAGAUUGCAUUAGUUUCCA